rnacentral:hammerhead_ribozyme from 1 species
AUCCAGCUGACGAGUCCCAAAUAGGACGAAAUGCGCCUUGCCCUGGAU